rnacentral:rRNA from 1 species
UACGUAGGAGGCGAGCGUUGUCCGGAAUUACUGGGCGUAAAGAGCGCGUAGGCGGCGCUGUACGACCGGUGUGAAAGCCCCCGGCUCAACUGGGGAGGGUCACCGGUAACGGCCGAGCUAUGAGUGCAGGAGAGGGAAGUGGAACUCCGGGAGUAGCGGUGAAAUGCGUAGAGACCCGGAGGAACACCAGUGGCGAAGGCGGCUUCCUGGUCUGCAACUGACGCUGUGGCGCGAAAGCUAGGGGAGCAAACGGG